UCCCCUAUCACCACGCCUGGUCCGCAGUGAUGCUCAAAAAAGAUCUGUUGGUAGGCAAUGCGAAGGUGCAUUCAUGUCAUCCUGCAGGAGGAAUUCUCCACGAGUUUUGAGCAGCCUCGGUUUUCCCACCACCUCCAAAUCAUGCAAGACACAGGGUAAGAGCAAAGACAAGGUGGCUGUGGCCCAUGUCCACCAUCUCGGGGCGUCCCUUCUCUUCUCUCCUCCUUGGGCAGGGAGACCAUCGGGGUGCAACCUGGCUGGGGCAGGGAGGAAGUGCAGGGCCUGGCCAGAGCGGGCCUGGCCACGGGCAAGGGACAGCGACCUCCUGGGCCAGGAUAGGUGAGAGCGGCGCAGGCCCGGGACCGGCGUAGGCCCGGGACCGGCGUGGCGGCGCUGCUGGUGAGCAGCCAUCAGAGGGCGCCAGAGAGCCAGGAGCGGCCUGCGGAGGAGCCCGCGCUGGCCCCGAUGCCCAGGUCCGCCCCGCGCGGACCCACCGAGCCCGCGCUCAGACGCCCCAGCUCCACCGAGAGGCCGCUUGCGCCGGGUCCUUCUUCUUCCCCAAGUGUAGGCAGAUCCACCGGAGUCAUGGCCAGGACUUCCGGCAGCUCCGAAGUCACUGGCAAGCCCCGAGGCAGGGAUGGCCUGCCAGGAGGGAGGAGGACGACGUCCCUCCCGAAGAGAAGAGGCUGCGGCUGUUGCUGGAGGGGGAAGCGCACAGCCCCAGGACUGCGAGGACGGGGAGGACGCGCCGCGGCCGGGAAGGGGGGAGACCGUCACUCAGACAGGUGGCGACGGCAGAGGGAAAUUUGUUUCAAUGAAGAAACUGUGGUAUACACACCCAGUGAAGUAUUAUUCAGCCUAAAAAGGAAGAAACUCCUCUCCGCUGCAGACAAAAUGGAUGAGAUUGCAGGCCUGUAUAUUAAAUGA
rnacentral:lncRNA from 1 species